rnacentral:sRNA from 1 species
UGCGGAGGUUGAGGGGCGUCCGAGGCGCGGAGGGGCUGGCUGGGCAGGAGGGGUUGGCGGGGCAGCAGGGCCGCGGCCAUGGGGAGCUUGAAGGAGGAGCUGCUCAAAGCCAUCUGGCACGCCUUCACCGCACUCGACCAGGACCACAGCGGCAAGGUCUCCAAGUCCCAGCUCAAGGUCCUUUCUCAUAACCUGUGCACGGUGCUGAAGGUUCCUCAUGACCCAGUUGCCCUUGAAGAGCACUUCAGGGAUGAUGAUGAGGGUCCAGUGUCCAACCAGGGCUACAUGCCUUAUUUAAACAGGUUCAUUUUGGAAAAGAUUGAAUACCUGCUUAAGAAGCUUACAGAAGCUAUGGGAGGAGGUUGGCAGCAAGAACAAUUUGAACAUUAUAAAAUCAACUUUGAUGACAGUAAAAAUGGCCUUUCUGCAUGGGAACUUAUUGAGCUUAUUGGAAAUGGACAGUUUAGCAAAGGCAUGGACCGGCAGACUGUGUCUAUGGCAAUUAAUGAAGUCUUUAAUGAACUUAUAUUAGAUGUGUUAAAGCAGGUAAGAAUUCUGUUACUGUUUUUUUCUCAUGUUUAGAAUUUGACAUUUUAAAAUUAAUAUUUUUGUCACAAAGAUGAGUAUAAGUCACUUAUUUUCUUACACUGAUUUCGUUUUUUUGUUUUUUGUUUUUUUGAGACAGUCUUGCUCUGUCGCCCAGUCUGGAGUGCA